rnacentral:rRNA from 1 species
UACGGAGGGGGCUAGCGUUGUUCGGAAUUACUGGGCGUAAAGCGCACGUAGGCGGCUUUGUAAGUUAGAGGUGAAAGCCCGGGGCUCAACUCCGGAAUUGCCUUUAAGACUGCGUCGCUAGAAUUGUGGAGAGGUAAGUGGAAUUCCGAGUGUAGAGGUGAAAUUCGUAGAUAUUCGCAAGAACACCAGUGGCGAAGGCGGGUCACUGGGCUGAUACUGACGCUGAAGUGCGAAAGCCAGGGGAGCGAACGGG